CAAAACCGGCUGCGGUCAGGGCGCGCCAAAGCUGGACAGGGGCGCUGGGGGGAAGAAAACCCUGUGGUCCGUGGACCGGGAACUGCGCUCUGAAAAGCCGACCUAGGGAGUCCUUCCGUACUACCAGAGGACGAACCGCCAAGUGCGCGCAUCCCAGAGCGGCCCCCACCCCGCGCCUUGGCCCGCCAGCUUCCGCCUCGCCCCGGGGCCUCGCAAUCCAGGACCUUCCCCCACUUCCUGGCCGAAGUUGCCUCGACCCCGCCCUGCCUCGGGCCGCAGUACGGCCUUAACGCGUUGCAGGGCAGCCCAGCCCCACUUCACACCUGCUGUCCCUGUUGGCGUACGUGUCCCAGGAUCAGCCUAACUGGAAAAUUACAGUCGUUUAUAGAUUAAAAAGUUGCAGAACUUCUUGAAGGUUUAUGAGAACAUCAUGACCAGAACUACCGUGGACAGCUGCAAGAACAAAGGAUUAUCACACCCCUCUGAGUCUGGCCAGUACCAAGGGAUCUGCAACAACCAGCCACAACCCCUCCCCUUUUGGUGUAAAAGAAGCCUGAAUUCUAACUCAGGGGACUCGGGUUCAAUCCCUGUGGGAUCCUAAGAGCCCGCAUGCCGCGGGGCAACUAAGCCAGCACACCACAACUACUAAGCCUGCAUGUCUCAACUAGAAAGAGAAAACCUGCACGCCACAACUAGAGAGAAGCCCGCGCGCCGCAGUGAAGAGCCCAUGCACCGCGAUGAAAGAUCCCGCAUGCUACAACGAAGAUCCCACAACUAAGACCCAGCGCAGCCAAAAAUAAAAUUUAAAUUAAAAAAAAAAAAAAAAAGUCUCCCAAACCAUGGUCGAACUUAUGACCAUGAGGGUACCCUGCCAACUAAAAAUUUUCGCUUGCUACCUGGUUCUAUAAGAAUGAAGUCACUAGCCACUGCAGUCACUGACCUUCAAC